ensembl:misc_RNA Metazoa_SRP Metazoan signal recognition particle RNA
ACUUCAUGGCGCGUGCCUGUAGUCCCAGCUACUCAGGAGGCUGAGCCUGGAGGAUCGCUUGAGUCCAGGAGUUCUAGGUUGUAGUACACUAUGCCCAUCGGGUGCCCACACUAAAUUCAGCAUAUGGUGACCUCCCAGGAGCUGGGGACCACCAGCUUGCCUAGGGAGAGUUAAACUGGCCCAGGUCGGAAAUGGAGCAGGUCAAAACUCCCGUGCUCAUCAAUUGUGGGAUGGCACCUGUCAAUACUCACUGCACUCCAGGCAACAUAUUGAGACCCCGUCUCUU